GGGCCAGCGGGAACGAGGAGAGCGCGCCCGUGGCGUCCCCCGGGCUGUGGGCGCCCCCUGCAGGAGAAUUGGAGAACCCCGCUGGUCCCAGCUGGUUACCCGUCCUUCCCGAUCUUUCACAAACGGCCUAGAAACGCCCCAAGUAAAGCUGUGUGUGUUCACCACCUGCGCCUGAUUAACUGGCCGCAGGGCAGGCCCUGAGUACAGGAACCCGAACUCGGCCUCACGCGGAGUCUCUGCCCGACACUGCAGCCACCUUCCCAACACCCCUCACCGCACCGCACAGGAACUGCCUCUCGCUCCCUUGCCUUGCGUUUCCUGCAGAGGAUAAAAGCAGUGUUCAGUGCCAUAAGUGAUUCAACUGGAGCCAUGCAGGUGAAACCAGGCAGUGAUCUCGAGGUAAUGUGACCUGCCACACUUCCAGCCGCUGUGGUAGAGGCCAACGUGGUGUGAUUCCCCAUCAGUGGAGGUCGGGAUCACUUUAGGAUUCGCUAAAGUUGUGGGAUGCUCCAAGCUGCAAAAGUUGCUCUUUCUCUGAACCAGGAAUCCAAAGGUCACGACUGCUGCAUCUGUUUCUUGCCUCUUCCAUUCCAUAAUCCAUGAGGUUUUGCACAUCUUUGGGAAAUCCAAAUUACAACUCUUCUCUGGCAUAGGAAAAGGCGAGGGUAGUUGGUUUGAAUUCUUUUGCAUUUCCCUGAAGUGGACUGUAGAUCUGAUCUACUGACUUAGUUCCACAUGUAUAAUUAAUGGAGAGUGUGUUCACAGCUCCUACUAAGCUGCUUGAUUGACAUCGUGAAGAGAGCAGAUGCAGGGCUGGUCUGUCAGCCAAUCAGAAUUCCUGAGGACAGAUAACACAAGGUCACGAAUGAAGAUUGUAUCUUGACAGGCCUUGAAGGGAAGUGAAAAUAACCAGGUUUUGAUUUGCACCCAUGGUCACUGCAGACUCCAAAGAUGUCAUUUUCAGAUAUUUCCUUGUUUUUCUUUAGAGUCAUAAUACGUCAGGCUCAGCUAGAUGAAGAGCUAAAUUAAAGGUGUCAUUUCAGCUCAUAAAUAACAGAUGUCUAAUGCAUUUAAUUAUUUAUAGUCUUGAAUCUUUCAAAAAUGAAAAUGACUCUACACAUUUUUAAUGCAGUUCUUGGUAAUUUGCCGCCUGACUGAUAAGAUUUGCCAACAAUCCUGGAUUGCAAACAUGAAAAAUAAAACUGAGACGGACUCGUUUAUUUCGCAAGACUGCUUCUUUGCUCCCUUGUGGCUUUAACAAAAUUUAAAUUAAAGUGAAAUAUAAUCACGACAAAAUGAUGUUCAUAUACUGAUAUUAAUAAUUGAGUUUUCUGAGAUCGUGUGGUGGGUGCCUGGCUGCCAGAGACUUUUUCACUGCCUGAAAAAUCAAUGCUUUAUCCUUCUCUGAACCCUACUCUGAUUGCCUUAAUCAGAGCUUAAUAGAGAACGCUUACACCUGGCCCCUGAGCAUGCCUCCCAGAUCAUAUUUGCAGAUUUGGGGAGGACUUAAGUAUGGUUAAGAAAGGCCAAUGUGACAUCAGUGACACCAGGAAGAGCCCCUCAUUCCUAGAGUAUUAAUCUCUUCAUUGGGUGAAAAAUCGGUUUCCAUCAGACUCCAAAAUGGCUUAAAUUCACACUGAGCUUAAAUGGCCUAUGUUAGAUCCUGAUAAUAAUUUUUAAUAAGAUAAAAGAAGAAAUACUUAAGAUGCCUCCAUUAUUUGAGGAAUCACUUGAAUCACUUUCUUGGUGAGCAAAGAAAAACUUGCUUUUGGUCUAGUGGUAUAAUGAAAAGUGAAUUAAUUUGGGAAUAAUAAUAAAAAAAAUGUCAGUUUGAAUCUUAGUUCUAACAAUUAUAAGCUAGUGUCCUUGAGUAAAUUACUUAAAAUAUUUAGGGCUCAGAUUCUUUAUUUCUAAAAUCAACAUAAACAAUACCUGUCUCCCAGGGAUGUUGUAAAGAGACAUGAGGUAACAUGUAACACACCUGUACUUAGUAGGUAUACUAUAAAUGUUAGGGAUCUUUGUAUCUGGCUGGGGAAAAAGCAACAAAUUGCUCAUUAGUGAAAAUGAUUAAGUGAGUUGUUCUCUAAAGUUUUUUCAGCUGGGCAUACCUGCAUCCACUGCUCCCCAGCAUUGCUGUUACUCCUGCAAACCCUUCACUGACUUCCAGUGUAAGAAUAGAAAUAGGUUAGCAUAAGCAUAGCCAUCUUAAAGGCCUAGAAGCCAUUUUCUGAGUAUGUGACUUAGAAAGAAAAACUGGAACUGGGUA